CGAUUCCAAUUCAUCAUUGCCCUGGCACAUGUCAAUUACUAUAUAAAAAAUCAAAUGUAAUGUCAAAUCCAAAGCCUCAGUGGAAAGAGUUCAGUUCCCAAAAAACAGUGAUAGCUUAACAAGGUAAAACUUUUAUCUAGAGUACAUAGGCAUUAAGUUAGUACUGC